rnacentral:rRNA from 1 species
GUCUCAGCAGCCGCGGUAAUACGAAGGGACCUAGCGUAGUUCGGAAUUACUGGGCUUAAAGAGCUCGUAGGUGGUUAAUAAAGUUGGUGGUGAAAUCCCAAGGCUUAACCUUGGAACUGCCACCAAAACUUUUUGACUUGAGUAUGAUAGAGGUAAGUGGAAUUUCUAGUGUAGAGGUGAAAUUCGUAGAUAUUAGAAAGAACACCAAUUGCGAAGGCAACUUUCUGGAUCAUUACUGACACUGAGGAGCGAAAGCAUGGGUAGCGAAGAGGAUUAGAUACCCUCGUAGUCCAUGCCGUAAACGAUGUGUGCUAGACGUUGGAAAUUUAUUUUUCAGUGUCGCAGCGAAAGCAUUAAGCACACCGCCUGGGGAGUACGACCGCAAGGUUAAAACUCAAAUGAAUUGACGGGGACCCGCACAAGCAGUGGAGCAUGUGGUUUAAUUCGAAGAUACGCGCAGAACCUUACCAACACUUGACAUGUUCGUCGCGAACUUAAGAGAUUAGGUUCAUCAGUUUGGCUGGACGAAACACAGGUGCUGCAUGGCUGUCGUCAGCUCGUGUCGUGAGAUGUUGGGUUAAGUCCCGCAACGAGCGCAACCCUUUACUUUUAGUUGCCACCAUUUAGUUGAGCACUCUAAAAGAACUG